rnacentral:rRNA from 1 species
GACGAACGCUGGCGGCGUGCCUAAUACAUGCAAGUCGAACGCAGUGGGGACGGGUGAGUAACACGUGGGUAACCUCCCAUCAGAGGGGAUAACACUUGGAAACAGGUGCUAAACCGAUACUGAUGGAUGGACCCGCGGUGCAUUAGCUAGUUGGCGGGGUAACGGCUCACCAAGGCCACGAUGGAUAGCCGGCCUGUGAGGUUGAUCAGCCACACUGGGACUGAGACACGGCCCAGACUCCUACGGGAGGGAGCCGUAGGGAAUCUUCGGCAAUGGGCGAAAGUCUGACCGAGCAACGCCGCGUGAGUGAAGAAGGUUUUCGGAUCGUAAAGCUCUUUUGUUAGAGAAGCGGUAUCUAACCAAAAAGCCACGGCUAACUACGUGCCAGCAGCCGCGGGAAUUC